rnacentral:tRNA from 1 species
GGCCCCUUGGUCAAGCGGUUAAGACACCGCCCUCUCACGGCGGUAACAGGGGUUCGAAUCCCCUAGGGGUCA